CUCUCGGCUUCUGUACAGUGAAAUGGCUGUUUGUCCCUUUUGAUUCAACGCGUCCAUCAUCCAUGGAUGUUUUGGCUUUAGUUAUUCUGGAUCUUUCUUUUGCUUUCGGCUAUUCUCUCUCGCAUGUCUCCAGUUGCUUUGUUUCUCGCCGUCCGUUUUUCCCCGCCUUCGCUUCUGUUUUCUUCAUCGUGUUGCUUCGUUGUUCAAAACGUCAACCAUUUUGGGUUCGAUUCCAAUAAUUUUUUGGGUUUUUCGUUCAUUGAAUCCGGGUUUUCCAAAAAUUUUGUGCUCAUCUUGGGUUCGCUUCGAACUUGGUUGCAACCGAUCUAAUCCGGCGUUUCCAGAUUCGGGAAACAGUCCCUUUCAGAUUUUUGGAUUUUCGAUUCUGAUUCUUGGAACUCUCUGUGCUAAAGAUAAUGGUGUGGACUAUGAAGGAAGCUUGCUUUGUGUUGGAAGUACGUUGAUGUCUUGGGCUCUCAUCGAAAUCUCUGAUAUCACUCCUGAUAGUUUGGUAGAAAGAAAACGCCAGAGCCACAGCAGAACGGGCAGUCCACUGCUGGAGCUGUGAGUAAUGGGAGUAGUAAUUCUCGUGUCACAGCAAAUGGGAAUAUGUGAAGAGAAGACUGACUUGGUCAUCUAUGAGCAAUUUCAAAACCAGGUUGUGGAUUUAAUCUUAUCAUAUGCUACAUUGCAUGGAAGAAUCAGAUAUGCCUAUUCAUCUGCAAGGUGAUUGUUUUACACCUUAAAAUACCGUGUGAAUUUAUUUCACUAACAUUGCAUUGGUUUUUUAAUUUGAUAUGUUGUUUUGGUGUUUGAAAAUCAAAGAACUUUUAAAUAUAUGCAAAUUUGGUUGACAAUUAAGUGCAAUUCAUUGUGGUCAAGGCAUUGGUUUGUGGACAGUUGGAAUUCAUUUUGCUAAAAUAAGAUAAAUCUCUUUUUGCAGCCUGCAAUUGGCUUUCAAUUAGAGAACUGUACAAGGUUAAUUUAUUUUUUUUGUUCUUUGACCAAAGCUUUAAGAGCUUUGUAUUAACAGAGUCCUAAGGGAUUCCUUGGAUUAUUUUGCUUGAGAUGAGCUGUAUUUUGGAAAUUCUAUGAAUAUAAUUGACAUGGAUUCUUGAAUUUAUGAGUGUUCAAUUAGGUUCUACUGAAUUAACUGUUUUUGAGAAUUUGUCUUUGUCUUUAUUUUUUUGAGAUUUGAUGGUGUUUUUCUUUAGCCUGAAUACCUUCGAUGGUUCCUAGAUUAUAUCUCCAACAUUCCUUAGAAGAAGAUGGUUGCUACUGUGUUGCAUUCUACGUCCUUGGGCUGAAACCAUAGAUAUAUGGAACGUUUGCAAAUUCACUUCAUCACACAUACAUUAAAUGAUUGCUAAGAACUCUUCCUCUGCUGCCAUUAUUGGGCCUUCUAGGACAUUGUCUUCGGCGAUGUAUGUCGAGUCCAAGAGGGUGUGGGUGUGGACGGAGAUUAAAUAGGUUAUGAUGGCCACCAUGAAAGAGGUUGGAAGACCUUGGUCUUAGGUUCUAAAAGCCAUGAGCUUGCUGAUGAGUGGUCCCGGCAUGUCUCAGCAACCAUCAAUACAGAAUGCAACACCAAAAGAUUUACAGGGAUAUAAAUGGAGAUUUUGCCAUAUAACUCAAGGUGAAGCUGAGUCUGGGUUGGAACGGCUUCAUCAAUGUGCAGAUAAAGAGCUACAAGUUUACCUCAAUGAUAAGGAAUUUCAAUGAGUUUAGCACAAAACUUGCUCGAUUGACCAGGUUAUGUUCUACUAAAGAUAUUACACUACUUUUCUGAUUGGAUAAGUUGACUCGGGUCACAAUGAUAUAGCUUUUCAGUUUAUUAAUACUAACAUAUUAGUUUUGCUAAGUGGGAAUGCCAUAAUAUAAAUUUUAUAGAAAUGAUGAAUGGGCCAAUUUGAAAUACCAAAUUUCAGCUGAUGAAAGAACUCUUAUAUGACUGCCACUGCAUAUACUCAUCUUUUAUUUUAUUGGGUUUUAUUUAUAUAUCAUUUUUUUGGGUAAAAUGCAAUGUUGGUUUCGCAAAGAACUAACCUUUAUCUUAUCUACCGCUCUAUACGCAUGUAGUUUUCUCUUUUUUGGUACUCGAGUAUUUGGUUGAUUUAUUUAACAAUCUUUUGGAAUAUAGAGAUUUUUUGCACCAAUGUCUUAUUCCUGGAUUUCCUGAUGAUUUAGCAUUGAGAUGUUAGGCAAAGGUGUCUCAUGGGAAUCACAGAUUGCUCAAAACUAUCUCAAAGAAGUGGAGAGAUUUGUUACUAGCUCAGACUAUGCCAACUAUGAAGCUAUAGAAAAAUGGUGCGGAAAUUGGUAUAAUCCAAUAGCUAAUAAGUGUGCUCCUAUGUUCGACACUUAAAAUAUGUCUAGAACUGAUGUUACCAUUACCACUUUCAUUUUUA